rnacentral:lncRNA from 1 species
AGAAAACCUCAAUAUCAGCCAAUAGUGAUCAGAAACUGGUCGCCAGACCCCCUGCUUUUAAAAAAGCAGCAUUCCGAGCAUACUUCAAGAGAGCUUGCAUGUAUUGCACACUUCCAAGAAGCUUGGAAGAACUUGCGUAUAUAUACCGGAUCGGAAAACAACAUGGAUACUCUGCAGGCUUCAUAAAAUCAGUUGAACUAAAAGUAAAACAAAUCUUGAACCAAAACCCAGUGACUUCAUCUCUACUUAACCAUGAAGUGGACCUGACAGAAAAGUUUGUCCCCAUCCCCUAUCAACUACGUAGAUUGUCCUCUGUAAAAAGC